GAUGAACGCUGGCGGCGUGCCUAAUACAUGCAAGUCGAGCGAACGGACGAGAAGCUUGCUUCUCUGAUGUUAGCGGCGGACGGGUGAGUAACACGUGGAUAACCUACCUAUAAGACUGGGAUAACCUCGGGAAACCGGAGCUAAUACCGGAUAAUAUUUUGAACCGCAUGGUUCAAAAGUGAAAGACGGUCUUGCUGUCACUUAUAGAUGGAUCCGCGCUGCAUUAGCUAGUUGGUAAGGUAACGGCUUACCAAGGCAACGAUGCAUAGCCGACCUGAGAGGGUGAUCGGCCACACUGGAACUGAGACACGGUCCAGACUCCUACGGGAGGCAGCAGUAGGGAAUCUUCCGCAAUGGGCGAAAGCCUGACGGAGCAACGCCGCGUGAGUGAUGAAGGUCUUCGGAUCGUAAAACUCUGUUAUUAGGGAAGAACAUAUGUGUAAGUAACUGUGCACAUCUUGACGGUACCUAAUCAGAAAGCCACGGCUAACUACGUGCCAGCAGCCGCGGUAAUACGUAGGUGGCAAGCGUUAUCCGGAAUUAUUGGGCGUAAAGCGCGCGUAGGCGGUUUUUUAAGUCUGAUGUGAAAGCCCACGGCUCAACCGUGGAGGGUCAUUGGAAACUGGAAAACUUGAGUGCAGAAGAGGAAAGUGGAAUUCCAUGUGUAGCGGUGAAAUGCGCAGAGAUAUGGAGGAACACCAGUGGCGAAGGCGACUUUCUGGUCUGUAACUGACGCUGAUGUGCGAAAGCGUGGGGAUCAAACAGGAUUAGAUACCCUGGUAGUCCACGCCGUAAACGAUGAGUGCUAAGUGUUAGGGGGUUUCCGCCCCUUAGUGCUGCAGCUAACGCAUUAAGCACUCCGCCUGGGGAGUACGACCGCAAGGUUGAAACUCAAAGGAAUUGACGGGGGCCCGCACAAGCGGUGGAGCAUGUGGUUUAAUUCGAAGCAACGCGAAGAACCUUACCAAAUCUUGACAUCCUUUGACAACUCUAGAGAUAGAGCCUUCCCCUUCGGGGGACAAAGUGACAGGUGGUGCAUGGUUGUCGUCAGCUCGUGUCGUGAGAUGUUGGGUUAAGUCCCGCAACGAGCGCAACCCUUAAGCUUAGUUGCCAUCAUUAAGUUGGGCACUCUAAGUUGACUGCCGGUGACAAACCGGAGGAAGGUGGGGAUGACGUCAAAUCAUCAUGCCCCUUAUGAUUUGGGCUACACACGUGCUACAAUGGACAAUACAAAGGGCAGCGAAACCGCGAGGUCAAGCAAAUCCCAUAAAGUUGUUCUCAGUUCGGAUUGUAGUCUGCAACUCGACUACAUGAAGCUGGAAUCGCUAGUAAUCGUAGAUCAGCAUGCUACGGUGAAUACGUUCCCGGGUCU
rnacentral:rRNA from 1 species